AGUGAAUUUCCAGGGGUCUCUACAACCUGUUGCCUGUUGUCCAUUAUAGAGAAGAGGUUAUUUAGUCAAGGCAUUGCCUUUCUAAAACAGCUGCCCUGGAACAGAUGGUGGAGUUUUGGAGAUCUGUCCAGGAGAGGCGCAAGAGAAGUAAAAGUGGCUCAGGAGCUGGUAACCAGAUAGAAAAGACUUCAGAAGGGUGUGGAAAAUAUUGAAUGUCUUUAUCAAACAAGUGACAGAUGAGGAGAACAGUGGCUUCUCAUUCUUUCCUUUGGAUUUUCUCCUUUCCAGAGGGACAGAGGACUCUGCACGCACUGUGCAAGCAGAACAAGGAGAAGCAGUUGUCUGCUGGUCAUGAUGACAAACAACCACAGGUACAAACACUUCAGUACCUCCACACUCAUCUCUCUACUAUUAAGGUAAUUACUCCUCACCCAUGGCAUGACUGGUGGGCAGCACAAAGCAGGGUUUGGCCUGAAGUAGUGUACAUUUUAUUCCUCUGGUUUUGAGUUUUGCAUAGCUCUCACCAGGGUCACCUUAGGGGAGUGCAGUGCCCUUUCUGUUAUGCUGAAGCUGU